rnacentral:rRNA from 1 species
AGAGUUUGAUCCUGGCUCAGGACGAACGCUGGCGGCGUGCCUAACACAUGCAAGUCGAACGGAGAUUUUAGCAAUAAAAUCUUAGUGGCGAACGGGUGAGUAACGCGUAGACAACCUACCUUCUAGAUGGGGACAACACUGGGAAACUAGUGCUAAUACCGAAUGUUGUAUUUUGAAUGCAUAUUCUAAAUACUAAAGGUGGCCUCUAUUCAUAAGCUACCACUAGAAGAUGGGUCUGCGUCUGAUUAGCUAGUUGGUGAGGUAAUGGCUCACCAAGGCGACGAUCAGUAGCCGGUCUGAGAGGAUGAACGGCCACACUGGGACUGAGACACGGCCCAGACUCCUACGGGAGGCAGCAGUGGGGAAUCUUCCGCAAUGGACGAAAGUCUGACGGAGCAACGCCGCGUGAGUGAAGAAGGUUUUCGGAUCGUAAAACUCUGUUUUCAGGGACGAAUGUGCUAUUUGUAAAUAAUGAGUAGUAAUGACGGUACCUGACAAGAAAGCCACGGCUAACUACGUGCCAGCAGCCGCGGUAAU